rnacentral:lncRNA from 1 species
CGACCAUUCACGGCAUCCUACAAACCCGCUAUCUGCAUUGUGCAAGAAACAUAUAUAGUCAUAUUUGAAGAUCGAAAUAAAAGAAAAAGGAAAAAAGGAGAAGAAGGGUCAAUGGAGUUUACUAGAAAUUUUUCUGUGUACUGCCACAUGAUGUUACUGUUUCACUCAAAUUAUAACACUUGUAUUUGUUUUCUUGUUAAUGCACUAUGGAAGUAGACAUAUAUAUCAAUUAUGUCUUCCAUCUGUACUAUAGCACGUGGAAUAUUACAUUACAUGACAACUGUUCCUGAUGCAUGUAGAAACUCCUUCUUUCUUACCUGCUACCGCAAAGACAAUGAACAUAACAAAAGCACAGAAAGGCACAUUGAUUUUGAAGUUUUAGCCAUCUUCUUCCUCAGUUUUGCAAUAAUUAGUAAUUAAAAUUACAAUUGCAAUGGCACAACUUGUUCGAGUUUUAGGGUGCUGUAUAUAUGCUUUUCUUGCGAGGGGGAAUAAGUUUGGGCUUCUGUUAUAAAGUUAGGGUUUCAAUUGAGGUCUACUUAUUCCACCGUUUGGCCAGGUAAGCAAAGCUUUGCCACAUUUAGCCUAUAAACAACAUGUACAGUUGGAUAGAAACAACAACUACACCAGAAACAUUGCUAAAAUGCACAUCUUCUCCUCUAAUCAUGCUUAUGUUAACCUAAUCUCUGUAAAUCUCAUGGUUUGUUAAUUCAAAGUUUUGUGGGUAUAAAGUCAGGGUUGGAAACGCCGGACUUUCAGGCAGGCAGGUAAGUUCGUUGGGUUAUGUAUGUACCUGGGGUAUAGCUAUAUUUCGGUUGUCUUCUUAAACUUGGAUGCCUAAAAUAUUAAACAAGUCCUCCGUAACUGUUUAUUUUAACAAAAAAAUCAUAUUUUUACACUAAAAAGUCAAUCCUGAUACUAUUCAUUUUACCCUUUAUUUUGUUUUUAUCGUUAAACCUCAAAAUUUUCAAACAUUUUUUAAUAGUGUUGAUGCACAAAACCGGAGGUCUUGGAACAACGUAAAUUCGACCGUGAAUCUGCAUGAAAUGUAAAUGACACAAGAUGUAUCGUGGUUCACCACAAGGUUUGGGCUACGUCCACACUGAUUAUGUAUUUAUCUGAGGGAGAGAGAGCUCUGAGAGUGAGAGCGUUGAGAGGGAGUGAGGAGCCUUAGGCAUUGUCUCUAGAUAUGAGAGACUUAGGGUUUGUGAGGGUGAGGAGGUCCUUUUAUAGAAUAAGGGCUCCUCCCCUAAUUACAUAUUUGCUCCUUCUUUUAUUACAUAAUUACAUUUAAGUCCCCUGAGUAUUUAUACGAGGUCUAAAUACGAGGCCCUAAAAAUGGUAUAAACAAAUAGUUUUCCUUAAAUUUAUAAAUAGAAUUCCAAAAACGACACUCAGACAAAUGAAACUGUAAAAAGAAGAUUUCAUAAAAAAUUAAAAAAAAAAAAGUAACCUUGCCAGAACUGGAACUGUUUUGUGAAUGGAUCCAGAUACCAUCUUCGAACUCUCUUUUUGUGAAUGGACCCAGAUCGAGAAGGAUUGAGAAGGCUGCAUCAUGACUCAUGAGUGAAGUCGAGAUGUGCUAUGGAAUCAUGGAUCAAUGUGUGUGUGGGGGACCAUUUGGACUGCACCAGACAGAGACAUCAUCUGUGCUUUUCGUUUUUUUGUUCGGUUUCUCCAAGGUACCAUAUCUUCUUAACCUAACCAAAGUUGUUAGCGUUAAUUUUUCCUUUUAACAAUAAAAAAACAGAAAUUAGAGUAGUAUAUAUAUUACUCUGUGGGACUUUAACACUAACUACAAAAUCACAUAGUCAUAAAUAAGUGAAUUUUUGAAAUUACAUCAACAUGCCGCAGGAUCAUGUGAUCUUUUUGUAGUAUAAAUUUUUUGCAGAAACUAGAAUAAUAUUAAUAGGAGAGAGGAGAAUCAAACUACAAUCUUGUGUGCAUGAUUAAUUGCAUUUAACUUCUUCAGCUACAAAUCUUUUACGUAUUUAAAUGGGGAUGAAAGCACAAACAAAAAAAAAAAAUGAUGUGGAAAUUUAGAAACUAACUUUUAAUGAAACUGCUUACCGGUAGUUUUCGUUUUAUUUCCAUGAGAUGGAGAGUGCAAGUGCAGUUAUUUUACUUGACUCUUUCAAAUGAUCUAGCUUUUAGCAAGAAAAUCAAGGAUCAAAUCUCACGUUCAUGACUGAAGCAUCCUCCUUUACAUUCAAUCCAAGUUCUUACUCGAUGAAGGGAAAAACAAACGAAUCACGAAAAAGUGGAAGAGAACGAAAGAACCAGUAUAUUGCUGAAGGCAGCGGUUGAGGAACUGUGGUGAUCAAGAAAGAAAUGUGAUAUCCACACAUCCUUAUUUACCCUUACACAUUAUUUUUAAUUUCGGCUGUCGGAUUAAAUGAUUUGAAUAAAAUUAAAAGACAUAAAUUAUCUUGAGUGUUUGGAAAGUAAAAAUGCGGACUUGAAUAGCAUCACCCUAAAGAAACAGUAGCUAAACAUAAAUAAAUACCUAUUAAUUUUGUUGGAAAAUAAAAGGGAAAGUAUAACCACUCAGUACUACAUUCUAGUGGUAUUCCUCUUCACUUGUAAGUGAGAGAUCAUAUGUUUGAUUCUCAUGGAUGACGAAUUCGAUAGUAAAUUAGGUUGCCCACUGUGCGACUUAGCAGAAAUCCCCCCUCCCUUAGUGUAAAUUAUAGCUUGUACUAAAAAAAAAGGAAAGUAUUUUAGGGAUACGAUUGAUUUAGUGAUUUAUAUGAUUCAAUUAGGGUUUUGAUAUGAUUUGAUUUGGUCUGGGUUUCUUUGUCUUGUAGACAAAGGAUUGUAUAUUGAUUUAUUUCCUAGUAUUGCUCUUUUGUAAUCUUGUAAAUACCUCCUUAUGGAGAAGAAUAAAGUAAUUGAAUUUGUAUUUGAGAAUUGUGAGCUUGUAGAGAAUUCUAACUUUAUCCUAAACCCUUUAUUUUCAACUAAUUUGUAAUGUGUGUUCUAGUGUUAUAGUAUUCUAGUUAAAUGUUGAGGAGUGUUAUGCAAACAUAUUUCUUAUAUAGUUCAAUGAAAUAUAUGUUAUAUAUAAACAUUUUUUUUUGUCAAACGGUAGAUUUGUUAGAUUAGAUAUUAGAUUAGGGAACCGAUCAGGUUCAAACUCAUGUUGUGAUGUAAGAGCAACACUCCUCUCCACCAAUGUGAUAGAGGAUCACUUGUUAUAUAUACUUGAAUGUUGUCACUUGAACUAAUAACUUUUGUUUUUUAUAUAAUUCUUGAGAGAUAUAUAUAUAUAUAUAGCUUGAUCAACCUCCCAAAUAAUGUUUUUCUUUGGAGACACGGUUUCGUGUAUUUGAGGAAAUGUUUCAGAGAAAUAUUCCUAAAUUCUGUUAGAGUAGUGCUACAUUUCAACAACAACAACAACAACAAAGCCUUUUCCCACUAAGUGGGGUCGGCUAUAUGAAUCCUAGAACGCCAUUGC